rnacentral:tRNA from 2 species
GCCGAUGUAGCUCAGUUGGUAGAGCAACGCAUUCGUAAUGCGUGGGUCGGGGGUUCGAAUCCCUCCAUCGGCACCA